AUGGGUGGUAAAUUUCAUCUAAAGCUAAAUAUUGGCCAGAGACCGAUAGCGCACAAGUAGAGUGAUCGAAAGAUGAAAAGCACUUUGGAAAGAGAGUUAAACAGUACGUGAAAUUGUUGAAAGGGAAGCGCUUGCAAUCAGACUUGCAGGCAGUCGAUCAUCCGAGGUUCUCCCCGGUGCACUCGAUUGUCUUCAGGCCAGCAUCGGUUUUGGUGGUGGGAUAAAGGCUGCGGGAAUGUGGCUCUUCGGAGUGUUAUANNNCNCGGUGCAAUGCCGCCUACCGGGACCGAGGACCGCGCUUCGGCUAGGAUGCUGGCGUAAUGGUUGUAAGCGACC
rnacentral:rRNA from 1 species